rnacentral:rRNA from 1 species
UCUUAAAGAUUAAGCCAUGCAAGUGUAAGUACGGCCCUACUCUUUGAGGGGGCGAGACUGCGGACGGCUCAUUAAAUCAGUUAUGAUUCCCAGGAGCCAGAACCACUUACUUGGAUAACUGUGGCAAUUCUAGAGCUAAUACAUGCACUUUAAGCUCCACCUGCCCCGUUCGCGGGGCGGGAGGUUGCGCACCUGUUAGCCUCGAAAGGCGGUGGCUUCGGUCCCGUCGAAAGGAGAUGAACUCUGGACAGCUUUUGCCGAUCGCACGGCCUCUUGAGCCGGCGACAUACCUUUCAAGUGUCUGACCUAUCAUACUAGAUGGUUUGCGCUCUGCGCACCAUGGUUGUAACGGGUAACGGGGAAUCAGGGUUCGAUUCCGGAGAGGGAGCAUGAGAAACGGCUGCCACAUCCAAGGAAGGCAGCAGGCACGCAACUUACCCAAUGCCGACACGGCGAGGUAGUGACGAAAAAUACCAAUACGGGAGCCGCUACACGCGGUCCCGCAAUUGAAAUGAGUACACUCUAAAUCCUUUAACGAGGAUCUAUUGGAGGGCAAGUCUGGUGCCAGCAGCCGCGGUAAUUCCAGCUCCAAUAGCGUAUGUCAAUGCUGCUGCGGUUAAAACGCUCGUAGUUGGAUCUCGGUGACGGGCCGACCGUCUCGCUCUCGGAGCGAUGCACGGUUGGCGAUAGGGGGAGAGUCGUUUUGCGGCUUCUCCUUACUAGCUCCGUCCCUCUGUCCGGAACACCUAGCCCGGGUGCUCUUGACUGAGUCGCUCGGUGCCAUGGCCGGACGCUUCACUGUGAAAAAAUUAGAGUGCUCAAAGCAGGCCUCAGUGCCGGCAUAUCGCUGCAUGGAAUGAUAGAGAAGGACCUCGGCGCACGACCCCUGACCAGGGCGUGGCGCACGAGGUAAUGAUUAAGAUGGACUGCCGGGGGCAUACGUACUGCGGCGCGAGAGGUGAAAUUCUGUGACCGUCGCAGGACGAACUAAAGCGAAGGCAUUUGCCAAGAAUGUCUUCAUUAAUCCAGAACGAAAGUCAGAGGCUCGAAGACGAUCAGAUACCGUCGUAGUUCUGACCGUAAACUCUGCCUACUGGCAAUCCGCCGACGGUAUCUCAACGACUCGGCGAGCGGCCUACCGGGAAACCAAAGUUUUUGGGUUCCGGGGGGAGUACGGUCGCAAGGCUGAAACUUAAAGGAAUUGACGGAAGGGCACCACCAGGAGUGGAGCCUGUGGCUUAAUUUGACUCAACACGGGAAAACUCACCCGGUCCGGACACUGGUAGGAUUGACAGACUAAAGCUCUUUCUUAAUUCAGUGGGUGGUGGUGCAUGGCCGUUCUUAGUUGGUGGAGUGAUUUGUCUGGUUAAUUCCGAUAACGAACGAGACUCUUGCCUGCUAAAUAGUUCGGGGACCCAGGGACCGCUCUCGAGCGGACCCGCUACGGGUCACCCGCAAACACUCCACGGAGUCAACUUCUUAGAGGCACAAGUGGCGCUUAGCCACACGAAACGGAGCAAUAACAGGUCUGUGAUGCCCUUAGAUGUCCGGGGCCGCACAUGCGCUACAAUGGCUACAUCAGCGCGAGUCUUUCCUGAAAGGGCAAGGGAACCGCUCAACCGCAGUCUCGGUUGGGAUUGGGGGCUGCAAGUGUCCCCCAUGAACACGGAAUUCCUAGUAGGCGCCAGUCAUCAGCUGGCGUCGAUUGAGUCCCUGCCCUUUGUACACACCGCCCGUCGCUACUACCGAUCGCUCUCGUUAAUGAGCCCGUCGGAUUGGACCCGGUGGGGUGCUCUUCUGGGGCGCCUCGCGUCAUGGUGUCUGCCGAGAAGAUGGGCGAAUUAUCGGGGGUAGAGGGAGUAAAAGUCGUAACAA